rnacentral:lncRNA from 1 species
CUUGCUGCUCCUGUGACUGGGAAUAGAGGACUAUCCUCCUGACUUAUUGCACCCUCCUUGCCCAGGGUCUGUAUAUCUAUUGUGGAGAAUCCAUCUUGUAAAGUAACACACAGGAACUGUUGCCUCUAAAAUACGUUCAAAAGACUUUGUACUUCAAUGGGAUUAUAAUCCAUUGUGUGUCUAUUAAUCUAGAUAAAAGAAAGGAUACAGACCUCACACAUGUGGAAUACCACCUUCAAAAAUACGUAAAGCCAUGCGCCUGUGGUCUCAGUUACUCGGGAGGAUUCGGCAGGAGGGUCACUUGAGACCAGGAGUUUCAGCUUACAGUGAGCUGUGACUGUGCCACUGCACUCUAGCCUGGGCAACGUAAUGAGACAUCAUCUGUGAAAGGAAAAAAAGGCAUGUAAUAGUAAAGAGAGUAUCCACCUCCCCUCCCUCUAUUUAAUUGAUUGUUCUAGUAUACUCUUGAAGGAAGUAUAUUCAAAGUGUGAUAUUAAGAAAGAGUUGCAAGCUUCAUCUUACUCCUCUGGCCUUCAAUCUAAUUCCGUUGCUAUUUCAAAACCCUUCAAGGCUUUGUGGUAGGUAAACAGAGAUAGAUGUAUUUUUGUUGUUCAUUCUUUUCUCUGUCAAGAUCACUACAUACUGCACAAAGAAAGCCACUUAAAACACAGAUGAAGAAACAGACUGAAUAAAAAAUAUAUGACCCAAGAUUAAAAUACUCUCCUCAUUGAAAAAAGUAAAAACAGAAAAACAAUUGUAAUACUUAAGUGAUACUUUGUUGAAGAUAAGAUGCCUGAGAUUGUGUGUAUUUUAUAUAUAUUUGAUUAAAUUUCUAAAUAUUUGCAAAUGCCAUUCUGAGCACACACUGUAUAAAUUUUAACUUUCUUGUAGAGUACAUAGCUAACAUGCACAAUUAGAUCAGCAUGCAUGCAUACACAUCCCCAGAGGUCCACAUAUUUAAAAACUUGUUAAGAAGUACAAGCCAGUCUUCUGCUGGAGUCUGAGAUUUACACGGGUUAACUCUGCACUUCAAAGAAAAUAUAGCCUAAACAGCUAUCAAAUCCAAACUCUGAAAAAUGGUGA